AUGAAGAACGUAGUGAAAUGCGAUAAGUAAUGUGAAUUGCAGAAUUCAGUGAAUCAUCGAAUCUUUGAACGCACCUUGCACCCUUUGGCAUUCUGAAGGGUAUGCUCGUUUGAGUGUCAUUGUACUCUCACACUCCCGAUCUUUGCAUUGGGAGCAGUGGACUUGGGUUUGCUGCUUCACCGUCGCUUACCUCAAAUAGGUUAGUGCAACUCUUGGUUGGACAUAGUACGGCGUGAUAAGUGUUCUUCGCCGGUGCCUCGCAAAGAGGGUGGCCGAUCGGGAUGUUGUGCUCCAAACCGUCUUCGGACAAUCUCUGACGACUUGACCUCAAAUCGAGUAAGACUACCCGCUGAACUUAAGCAUAUCAAUAAGCGGAGGA
rnacentral:misc_RNA from 1 species